GACGAACGCUGGCGGCGUGCUUAACACAUGCAAGUCGAACGGAAAGGCCCUGCUUUUGUGGGGUGCUCGAGUGGCGAACGGGUGAGUAACACGUGAGUAACCUGCCCUUGACUUUGGGAUAACUUCAGGAAACUGCGGCUAAUACCGGAUAGGAGCUCCUGCUGCAUGGUGGGGGUUGGAAAGUUUCGGCGGUUGGUGAUGGACUCGCGGCUUAUCAGCUUGUUGGUGGGGUAGUGUCUUACCAAGGCUUUGACGGGUAGCCGGCCUGAGAGGUGGACCGGCCACAUUGGGACUGAGAUACGGACCAGACUCCAACGGGAGGCAGCAGGGGGGAAUAUUGCACAAUGGGCGGACGCCUGAUGCAGCAACGCCGCGUGCGGGAUGACGGCCUUCGGGUUGUAAACCGCUUUCGCCUGUGACGAAGCGUGAGUGACGGUAAUGGGUAAAGAAGCAACGGCUAACUACGUG
rnacentral:rRNA from 1 species